GCCGCGUGCAGUGAUGAAGGGCCUUCGGGUUGUAAAAGCUCUUUUGCCGGGAAAGAAAUGACGGUACCUAAAGAAUAGGCCCCGGCUAACUCCGUGCCAGCAGCCCCGGUAUUACUAAGGGGGCAAGCGUUGCUCGGAUUUACUGGGCGUAAAGGGUGCGUAAGCGGUUUGUUAAGUCAGGGGUGAAAUCCGGGGGCUCAACCUGGGAACUGCCUUCGAGACUGAAAGACUUGAGUACGGUAGAGGUGGGUGGAAUUGCCAGUGUAAAGGUGAAAUGCGUAAAUAUUGGGAAGAACACCAAUGGCGAAGGCGGCUCACUGGCCCGAUACUGACGCUGAGGCCCGAAAGCGUGGGGAGCAAACAGGAUUAAAUACCCCUGGGAG
rnacentral:rRNA from 1 species